GACGAACGCUGGCGGCGUGCUUAACACAUGCAAGUCGAGCGGUAAGGCCCUUUCGGGGGUACACGAGCGGCGAACGGGUGAGUAACACGUGGGUGACCUGCCCUCAGCUCUGGGAUAAGCCUGGGAAACUGGGUCUAAUACCGGAUAUGACUCCAUGACGCAUGUUGUGGGGUGAAAGCCUUGUGCGGCUGAGGAUGGGCCCGCGGCCUAUCAGCUUGUUGGUGGGGUGANGGCCUACCGAGGCGACGACUGGUAGCCGGCCUGAGAGGGCGACCGGCCACACUGGGACUGAGACACGGCCCAGACUCCUACGGGAGGCAGCAGUGGGGAAUCUUGCGCAAUGGGCGAAAGCCUGACGCAGCGACGCCGCGUGAGGGAUGACGGCCU
rnacentral:rRNA from 1 species